rnacentral:rRNA from 1 species
CGGUUGAGUGGAGAGUGGCGGACGGGUGAGUAACACGUUGGUGACCUACCCUAGAGAGGGGGACAACUGUUGGAAACGGCAGCUAAGACCCCGGAUGUCUGUACUGUUAGAGGGAAUAGACUGAAAUUUUAAUGCUCUAGGAUGGACCAGUGGGCUAUCAGCUAGUUGGUGGGGUAAAGGCCUACCAAGGCAAAGACGGCUAGGGGGCGUGAGAGCGUGGCCCCCCACAAUGGGACUGAGACACGGCCCAU